rnacentral:rRNA from 1 species
AUGUUCGGGAUGCGGGCAUGCGGCGCAGCGGCGUCGUGGGUGGUGGGGUGGAUGGGCACGGAUGCGCACCUGUACGACGACCCGGAGGCCGUCGCCAUCCCGGCGCUGCUCGACUCCCACUUCAACGUCGACAAGGUCGACGCGCUCAAGCGCCUCCUCGCCCUCAUCGCCCAGGGGGUCGACGUCGCACACCUCUUCCCCCAGGUGGUGAAGAACAUUGUGGCACAGUCGCUCGAGGUCAAGAAUCUCGUCUACCUCUACCUGCUCCACCACACCGAGACGACAAUGGAAAUCCUUUGUUCGGAGAGCAAAACCAAGUUGAAGGAUUUUAGCAUGGCUGCUGUUGGCCCUUUGUACCGUGCCAGUUCAAGGUGUCGGACUGGUUCCUGA